AUAACGAACGAGACCUUAACCUGCUAAAUAGCCAGGCCGGCUUUGGCUGGUCGCUGAGCUUCUUAGAGGGACUGUCAGCGUCUAGCUGACGGAAGUUUGAGGCAAUAACAGGUCUGUGAUGCCCUUAGAUGUUCUGGGCCGCACGCGCGCUACACUGACAGAGCCAGCGAGUUUUUCACCUUGACCGGAAGGUCUGGGUAAUCUUGUGAAACUCUGUCGUGCUGGGGUUAGAGCAUUGCAAUUAUUGCUCUUCAACGAGGAAUACCUAGUAAGCGUGAGUCAUCAGCUCGCGUUGAUUACGUCCCUGCCCUUUGUACACACCGCCCGUCGCUAC
rnacentral:rRNA from 1 species